CUAGCGACUUCAGAGUUUGAUCCUGGCUCAGGAUGAACGCUGGCGGCGUGCCUAACACAUGCAAGUCGAGCGAGAUGUUUGUGACGGAUCCUUCGGGUGACGGAUCAAACGGAAAGCGGCGGACGGGUGAGUAACGCGUAGGCAACCUGCCCUUCACAGAGGGACAGCCUCGGGAAACCGGGAUUAAAACCUCAUAACGCCAUAGGGAGACAUCUCCUCUUGGCCAAAGAUUUAUCGGUGAAGGAUGGGCCUGCGUCUGAUUAGUUAGUUGGUGGGGUAACGGCCUACCAAGGCGACGAUCAGUAGCCGACCUGAGAGGGUGAUCGGCCACAUUGGAACUGAGACACGGUCCAA
rnacentral:rRNA from 1 species